GCACACAGGUGCUGCAUGGCUGUCGUCAGCUCGUGUCGUGAGAUGUUGGGUUAAGUCCCGCAACGAGCGCAACCCUAUGUUAGUUGCCAUCAUUCAGUUGGGCACUCUAGCGAGACUGCCGGUAAUAAACCGGAGGAAGUGGGAUGACGUCAAUCAUCAUGCCCCUUAUGACCUGGGCUACACACGUGCUACAAUGGUUGGUACAACGAGUUGCGAGUCGGUGACGGCGAGCUAAUCUCUUAAAGCCAAUCUCAGUUCGGAUUGUGGGCUGCAACUCGCCUACAUGAAGUCGGAGUUGCUAGUAAACGCAGGUCAGCCAUACUGCGUUGAAUACGUUCCCGGGGCUU
rnacentral:rRNA from 1 species